GAUGAACGCUGGCGGCGUGCCUAACACAUGCAAGUCGAGCGGACAGACGAGGCUCUUUCUUCUCUUCCGUGGCGGACGGGCGGGUAAGGAACAGGAGUCUGCCUUGCCUUUGAGAAUAACGUCCGGUAACGGGACCUGAUACCACACACGAUCAGAUGUAGAAAGUGGUGGUUCUACGGAGCUAGCGCGUUUUGCUGUGCCUAGGUCGGAUUAGCUAGUUGGUUGGGUAAAGGCCUACCAAGGCGACGAUCCGUAACAGGUCUGAGAGGGUGAUCAGCCACACUGGAACUGAGACGCGGUCCAGACUCCUACGGGAGGCAGCAGUAGGGAAUCUUGGACAAUGGGCGAAAGCCUGAUGCAGCCAUGCCGCGUGUGUGAAGAAGGUCUUCGGAUCGUAAAACACUUUUAGUAGGGAAGAACGAAUGUAAGAUAAUACCUGGCUGUCUUGACGGUACCAACAGAAAAAGCACCGGCUAACUACGUG
rnacentral:rRNA from 1 species